CCUUCUUCUUCUCUCUUUCUCCUUCUUCCCUUUUCUUCCCUCUCUUUCCUUCUUUUCUUUCCUUUUUUCUUUCCCUCUCCCGGCUCCACUGGGAGAGGUCGUUCAAUACUACCGGACUUGAGAGCGAUAGAGGAAAAUGGAAUUCCCGGUGUAGUGGUGAAAUGCGUAGAUAUCGGGAGGAACACCAGUGGCGAAAGCGAUUUUCUGGAUCGUUUCUGACGCUCAGACGCGAAAGCUAGGGUAGCAAACAG
rnacentral:rRNA from 1 species